CUGAGCCCAGGACAGGCAAGCCCCAAGCUUGCCCACUGUGGGCAGAGGGAUCCUCCUCCCAUCAUCACUGGCACCAAGCAAGCUCAUCUCAGCUAUGCCUGCAAGCUGCAUCUCUUCAGAGGCUCUGUGGAUUGGCUGGGAAAUGCAUUGAUUUCUUUCUUUCCAGGGACCAAGCAAGUUGUUCUCACUCCACUGUGCCUGCAAACUGCAUCUCUUCAGAGGCUCUGUGGAUUGGCUGGGAAAUGC